rnacentral:rRNA from 1 species
GACGAACGCUGGCGGCGUGCUUAACACAUGCAAGUCGAACGAAGUGGCGAACGGGUGAGUAAUACGGGAGUAACCUGCCGUCCUAUUUGGGAUAAGCCUUGGAAACGGGGUCUAAUACCGAAUAAAGGGGGAUGGGUUCGCGGCCUGGCAGGUGGUUGGUGGGGUGAUGGCGUACGAAGGGGGUGACGGGUAGCCGGCCUGGGAGGGGGACCGGGCACAUGGGGACGAACGUACGGACCAGACGCCUACCGGAGGCAGAAGUGGGGGGUAUGGCACAAUGGGCGAAAGCCUGAUGCAGCGACGAAGCGUGGUGGAUGAAGGCUGUCGGGUUGUAAACCUUUUUCGCUAUCGAAAGGGUAGGAGGGGAAGAAGCGCCGGCUAACUACGUGCCAGCAGCCGCGGUAAUAC